AUUGAACGCUGGCGGCAGGCUUAACACAUGCAAGUCGAGCGGGGGAAGGUAGCUUGCUACCGGACCUAGCGGCGGACGGGUGAGUAAUGCUUAGGAAUCUGCCUGUUAGUGGGGGACAACAUCUCGAACGGGAUGCUAAUACCGCAUACGUCCUACGGGGGAAAGCAGGGGAUCACUUGUGACCUUGCGCUAAUAGAUGAGCCUACGUCGGAUUAGCUAGUUGGUGGGGUAAAGGCCUACCAAGGCGACGAUCUGUAGCGGGUCUGAGAGGAUGAUCAGCCACACUGGGACUGAGACACGGCCCAGACUCCUACGGGAGGUAGCAGUGGGGAAUAUUGGACAAUGGGGGGAACCCUGAUCCAGCCAUGCCGCGUGUGUGAAGAAAGCCUUAUGGUUGUAAAGCACUUGAAGCGAGGAGGAGGCUCUUUUGGUUAAUACCCAAGAUGAGUGGACGUUACUCGCAGAAUAAGCACCGGCUAACUCUGUGCCAGCCGCCGCGGUAA
rnacentral:rRNA from 1 species